rnacentral:tRNA from 1 species
UCCCGUGUGGCUCAGUUGGUAGAGCAUGGUGUUUGCAAUGCCAGGGUUGUGGGUUCGAUUCCCAUGUGGGAC